rnacentral:rRNA from 1 species
UGAGGAAUAUUGGUCAAUGGGGGCAACCCUGAACCAGCCAAGUCGCGUGAAGGAUGAAGGUCUUAUGGAUUGUAAACUUCUUUUAUACGGGAAUAAAGUGGGGGACGUGUCCCCCUUUGCAUGUACCGUAUGAAUAAGGAUCGGCUAACUCCGUGCCAGCAGCCGCGGUAAUACGUAGGGUGCAAGCGUUAAUCGGAAUUACUGGGCGUAAAGCGUGCGCAGGCGGUUCGGAAAGAAAGGUGUGAAAUCCCAGGGCUUAACCUUGGAACUGCACUUUUAACUACCGGGCUAGAGUACGUCAGAGGGGGGUAGAAUUCCACGUGUAGCAGUGAAAUGCGUAGAGAUGUGGAGGAAUACCGAUGGCGAAGGCAGCCCCCUGGGAUGAUACUGACGCUCAUGCACGAAAGCGUGGGAAGCAAACA